AACCGUUUGGUUCCAAUAUUUACUUGCUGGCUCCACCGCAAGUCCAUUUCUCCCCCUUUUCCCCUACAAUACUAGGAACGUACACACUCACUUGAUGCAAAACACGAGUGAGUGCGUGUUCCACCUUCACACCCUACCAAGUGACAGACAAUCCGAGCAGUUUGAGCUCGAGCAAAAGACCGGACAGCCCUGUUGUCGUUGUGUUCACUCACAGAGGGCACCACAUGUACAACAGGGUGGGCAAACCAAAACAUAACAAAAUGCGAGCAUAGCCGUUACAAUGCAACAUUAUGCUAAAAUGCGUGAUAAAAAGGGAGUCGGGACGGGGGCAAAUUCUCUUUGUACCGUGAUCCUCCAAAGAAUUAGUAGUGCGCGCGUGUUUAAUUGUUAAAUGUUGAGGAUCCGUGUCGUUAGAAAUGUAAAAUCGUUAAAAUGUUUAGGACGAAAAUGUAAUAGUGCCGAGAGAUUGUUAAAGUGUCAGUUUGUUAAAAUAACAAAAGCACGAAAACGACAAAUAAGAACGAAAACGACAAACAAGAACGAUAAACGAAAAACAAGAUAAAAUAGAGCAGAAAAAGGUAAAUUUAGAGGUUAGGAAGUGGGACGUUGCUGGGUAUUAAUCCGUGGUGCCCAGGCCCGUGUCAAUGGGCCGUUUUCUUUUGUCCUUUUUUCUGAGAGUGGUUCCGGUGAUGUGCCUCCCGGACGAGCGAGCCCUGUGAACGAGUGACGGAUGAGUGACCGUUAUAAUUCCCGGACGAUUGUGCAGUGACUCCGGCAACAAGAUGGCUGGAUUGAGCCUGUAGACCAGCGGCCUGCCCGUACACAGUAACGCGGCGUUCUCGGUCCGCCAUUGCGAAUCCCCGAGCUACUUCUCCAAGCCAUCGCCAUCUUCCGUAAACCGUAUUCCAGUAUAACCGUAAGUUACACCCGCCCACUUCAACAAGUUCAGGCCGAGUCGGCCAACCAUAGCCAUUUCCCACCUCACGGGUGACGAGACCACCGAAAAUUCCGACCACGACAAUUGUUUGUAGCAUGCCCAGUACCCUAAAGUGACGUCCCGAAUAAAAUUGUAAAAGCUAGCUUCAGUGUAGCGAAUUAUUGAAAAGAGCCUCCCAGAGUAAUUAGGCCUUUCACCAAUUUCCCUUUUUGCGUCGUCUUCCGGGUUCAGAAAGGAACCGCUCAAGCCUCGUUCCUUCGAGGAUCAUUGUGUGCUUAGAUACCCCCCCCCCCUUUCCGCUUCUAGUUUGCCUGCCCAUAGUAUCUGUGUCCUCUGUGAGCCGAGCUUCCGCGGAAUCUAGUUUGCUCCUGCUCGGAUUGAUAAUCUAGAUCUUGGCUAUGGGUGUGAUAGUAAUGUCCUUAAACGACCCUGCAGAUUCCAAUCCCCUAUGCCGUGAGCUUAGCGAGUUACAAAUUGGCGCCCAACAAAAAUUACAUUAAAACCCCAUAUGCUUCCGUUUUUCCCGGAAGGGGAGGUAAAAACAGUGUCCUGUUUGCGAUUUUGCUUCGUUCUCCUAACGAAGUUUAGUAACUAACUAAUGCGUAUGGAUUCUAUUCCGGAAUCGCGAAGAAAGUCUAGGAAAUUAUGAAAUGCGCGCGGAAACAUUAGGUUUUUUUUUCAAAUUUGCAUGUUUUUUUUUAUUUCAAUUCGGUUGCGGUAAUAAAAGUUUAGUUCUAUUUUUCAAUUUAGGUCGUAUUUUUCAAUCCGAUUGUGCAAAACAUAGAAUAACAAAUUUUCCAUUUUUAGAAUAAAGCACAGAAAACCCGAACGCGAUCGCGACAGAAACGGUAUGCCUCGUAAAAACUGGAGGAGUUCGCACGGCCGGCGUGCAACGAGAUGGAAAGACCGGUCUGUCCUACUCUCAUCCUCGGGUAAAUCGGCAAGAGAUGCCAACGAUAUCGAUACUCGCUUACUCCCGGUAAAACUUGGUCGUUUCCGAACUCCACGGAACGGUUACCGUCAUCGAAUUCGGUUGGUCGCAACAAUCGUAGUUGCAGACCCGUUUAAGAAUGCGUCGCGAGAAAAGUAAACCGAAUCGGCUUUGGGAGUCAACCCAAAAGUCUACCGAAAUCGAGACCGGAACUAAAACGAAAAGCCAAAAUCGACCGCGAAAACUUACCUGAAAGUGUCAAUACUUACCACGAUACUUACCCACGAUCCGGUAUUCCGUUGAAACUUAUCACGUUUACGAAAAACACAACAGAAUAUAAACGAACAUCCGCGAAAUAAUUUACGAAACGCGAAACCGUCGAAAAUACGCGAAAUAUGACACCCCAGACGUUAACAAUAUUCGGCGAUUUUUAAACCAAAAUACUUGGCGGAACUCCGAAGGCCCACCUGGGAAGUUUCUUUCCAGCAAGCCCGUUCCCCAAAACCCCAAAAACAUAAUUUAUUCGGUGACUCUGCGUACUACCGUAAAAGUACGAAAAUGAGAACAACGUUUUGCUCGGGUCUCUUUUGAGCACCAGAGAGUAUCGGUCCGUCGCGGCCAUGAUUCAGUUGUAGCAGGUUCGAUCAUUCCCGGCGAAGAAUUCCGGUGCGACCUCUACACACCCUUCCAUAAGUGGGACCAGUUCACAGGAAACGAACUGGCGAUACCGAAAAUCCCACGUCGAAAGUUGAAAGGACGAUUGAAGUCCAAACCUAGAAUCAAAAAUCUUUCAUCGAUGAAAGUCUUCAAUUCAGUCGUAAUUGAUUGACUACUUACCAUUCACAGGUCCGGACCACCACUGAAUGGAUGCACUUUCGCAUACCUGAAAUGCAUUAAUACGUCAGAUUGAAAUUAUGUUAUUGUUUACGAACAGUAACUUACCAGGGUAAAUCGUAUAAUCGUCUCCCGAAGUAGAAUCUCUCCCUCGAACCGAUUCCGCAACUGAUCCAUGUAACGUCGACCGGAAAAUGAUACGCGAAUCGCGGUUCUUCUCGUGUACACCCCGGAAGAUUCUUAUUCGCGGACACAAUUUUUCUUCACACCCGAUAAUCGCGAUUGAUUUCGUAGGAAAAAUAACGUUUGAGAUCGUCGGACCGCGCAAACCGUCGUACUCGCGUUAAAGUAAACAUAAACAUUGAUCAUCUGUUUCGUUGACAGUUUUCAACACAGUAGUGUUGGUGAUGAGUUACUCUCGAAUGAGAACCCUUUUCUUCUCGCAUGAGCGACGAAGGUUAACAGGGUGUUCCCGCAAACAGACAUUUGAAAUUUCUAAUUCACCAAAUCAGUGAUGAUGUUGGUUGAAGUUAUUAAUUACCAUCGAACAAUUAUCCCGUGCAAAAUGAAAUUCUUUCAUUUUGAGAGAGGGACGAUGGGGUAAUGUAACCGUUUGGUUCCAAUAUUUACUUGCUGGCUCCACCGCAAGUCCAUUUCUUCCCCUUUUCCCCUACAAUACUAGGAACGUACACACUCACUUGAUGCAAAACACGAGUGAGUGCGUGUUCCACCUUCACACCCUACCAAGUGACAGACAAUCCGAGCAGUUUGAGCUCGAGCAAAAGACCGGACAGCCCUGUUGUCGUUGUGUUCACUCACAGAGGGCACCACAUGUACAACAGGGUGGGCAAACCAAAACAUAACAAAAUGCGAGCAUAGCCGUUACAAUGCAACAUUAUGCUAAAAUGCGUGAUAAAAAGGGAGUCGGGACGGGGGCAAAUUCUCUUUGUACCGUGAUCCUCCAAAGAAUUAGUAGUGCGCGCGUGUUUAAUUGUUAAAUGUUGAGGAUCCGUGUCGUUAGAAAUGUAAAAUCGUUAAAAUGUUUAGGACGAAAAUGUAAUAGUGCCGAGAGAUUGUUAAAGUGUCAGUUUGUUAAAAUAACAAAAGCACGAAAACGACAAAUAAGAACGAAAACGACAAACAAGAACGAUAAACGAAAAACAAGAUAAAAUAGAGCAGAAAAAGGUAAAUUUAGAGGUUAGGAAGUGGGACGUUGCUGGGUAUUAAUCCGUGGUGCCCAGGCCCGUGUCAAUGGGCCGUUUUCUUUUGUCCUUUUUUCUGAGAGUGGUUCCGGUGAUGUGCCUCCCGGACGAGCGAGCCCUGUGAACGAGUGACGGAUGAGUGACCGUUAUAAUUCCCGGACGAUUGUGCAGUGACUCCGGCAACAAGAUGGCUGGAUUGAGCCUGUAGACCAGCGGCCUGCCCGUACACAGUAACGCGGCGUUCUCGGUCCGCCAUUGCGAAUCCCCGAGCUACUUCUCCAAGCCAUCGCCAUCUUCCGUAAACCGUAUUCCAGUAUAACCGUAAGUUACACCCGCCCACUUCAACAAGUUCAGGCCGAGUCGGCCAACCAUAGCCAUUUCCCACCUCACGGGUGACGAGACCACCGAAAAUUCCGACCACGACAAUUGUUUGUAGCAUGCCCAGUACCCUAAAGUGACGUCCCGAAUAAAAUUGUAAAAGCUAGCUUCAGUGUAGCGAAUUAUUGAAAAGAGCCUCCCAGAGUAAUUAGGCCUUUCACCAAUUUCCCUUUUUGCGUCGUCUUCCGGGUUCAGAAAGGAACCGCUCAAGCCUCGUUCCUUCGAGGAUCAUUGUGUGCUUAGAUACCCCCCCCCCCCCUUUCCGCUUCUAGUUUGCCUGCCCAUAGUAUCUGUGUCCUCUGUGAGCCGAGCUUCCGCGGAAUCUAGUUUGCUCCUGCUCGGAUUGAUAAUCUAGAUCUUGGCUAUGGGUGUGAUAGUAAUGUCCUUAAACGACCCUGCAGAUUCCA